AUUGAACGCUGGUGGCAGGCCUAACACAUGCAAGUCGAGCGGAUGAAGGGAGCUUGCUCCUGGAUUCAGCGGCGGACGGGUGAGUAAUGCCUAGGAAUCUGCCUGGUAGUGGGGGAUAACGUCCGGAAACGGGCGCUAAUACCGCAUACGUCCUGAGGGAGAAAGUGGGGGAUCUUCGGACCUCACGCUAUCAGAUGAGCCUAGGUCGGAUUAGCUAGUUGGUGGGGUAAAGGCCUACCAAGGCGACGAUCCGUAACUGGUCUGAGAGGAUGAUCAGUCACACUGGAACUGAGACACGGUCCAGACUCCUACGGGAGGCAGCAGUGGGGAAUAUUGGGCAAUGGGCGAAAGCCUGAUCCAGCCAUGCCGCGUGUGUGAAGAAGGUCUUCGGAUUGUAAAGCACUUUAAGUUGGGAGGAAGGGCAGUAAGUUAAUACCUUGCUGUUUUGACGUUACCAACAGAAUAAGCACCGGCUAACUUCGUG
rnacentral:rRNA from 1 species